rnacentral:rRNA from 1 species
GCACAAGCGGUGGAUGAUGUGGUUUAAUUCGAUGCAACGCGAAAACCUUACCCACCUUUGACAUGUACGGAACCCUUUAGAGAUAGAGGGGUGCUCGAAAGAGAGCCGUAACACAGGUGCUGCAUGGCUGUCGUCAGCUCGUGUCGUGAGAUGUAGGGUUAAGUCCCGCAACGAGCGCAACCCUUGUCUUUAAUUGCCAUCAUUGAGUUGGGCACUUUAAAGAGACUGCCGGUGUUAAACCGGAGGAAGGUGGGGAUGACGUCAAGUCCUCAUGGCCUUUAUGCCCAGGGCUACACACGUGCUACAAUGGUUGGUACAACGAGUUGCGAGUCGGUGACGGCGAGCUAAUCUCUUAAAGCCAAUCUCAGUUCGGAUUGUAGGCUGCAACUCGCCUACAUGAAGUCGGAAUCGCUAGUAAUCGCGGAUCAGCACGCCGCGGUGAAUACGUUCCCGGGCCUU